GAUGAGCCUGCGUCUGAUUAGGUAGUUGGCGGAGUAAUAGCCCACCAAGCCUACGAUCAGUAGCUGGUCUGAGAGGAUGAUCAGCCACACUGGAACUGAGACACGGUCCAGACUCCUACGGGAGGCAGCAGUAAGGAAUAUUGCUCARUGGGGGAAACCCUGAAGCAGCAACGCCGCGUGAAGGAUGAAAUACUUUUGUAUGUAAACUUCUGUAAGAUGGGAAAAAUAUUCUCCUCGGGAGAAUUGAUUGUACCAUCAGAGUAAGCCCCGGCUAACUACGUGCCAGCAGCCGCGGUAAUACGUAGGGGGCAAGCGUUGUCCGGAUUCACUGGGUGUAAAGGGUGCUCAGGCGGACUUGUAAGUCAGAGGUGAAACUCCGAAGCUUAACUUCGGAACUGCCUUUGAUACUGCAAGUCUCGAGUACGGGAGAGGGUAAUGGAAUAACAGGUGUAGCAGUGAAAUGCGUASAUAUCUGUUAGAACACCAAUGGCGAAKGCAGWUGCCUGSCCCGUUACUGACGCUAAAGCACGAARGUGUGGGUAGCACACAGGGAUUAGAUACCCUGAUAGUCCACACUCUAAACGAUGAGAAACUAGUUGCUGGCCCUUUUAARGGGUCAGUGACYUUAGCUAACGCAUUAAGGUUCUCCAUCUGGGGAAGUACGAUCGCCAAGGGUUGAAACU
rnacentral:rRNA from 1 species